rnacentral:rRNA from 1 species
GAAACCGUGGUUAAUACCGGAUACGCCCCCUUGAGGACAUCCUCUCGGGGGGAAAGCCCCGACGGCGAGGGAUGGGCCCGCGGCCUGUUAGCUUGUUGGUGGGGUAACGGCCCACCAAGGCAAUUAUGGGUAGCUGGGUUGAGAGACGGACCAGCCAGAUUGGGACUGAGACACGGCCCAGACUCCUACGGGAGGCAGCAGUGGGGAAUCUUGCACAAUUUAAAGAAGCCUGAUGCAGCGACGCCGCGUGCGGGA